rnacentral:rRNA from 1 species
AUUGAACGCUGGCGGCAUGCCUUACACAUGCAAGUCGAACGGUAACGGGCCUUCGGGUGCCGACGAGUGGCGAACGGGUGAGUAAUGCAUCGGAACGUACCUUUCAGUGGGGGAUAACGUAGCGAAAGUUACGCUAAUACCGCAUAUUCUGUGAGCAGGAAAGCAGGGGAUCGCAAGACCUUGUGCUGAUUGAGCGGCCGAUGUCAGAUUAGCUAGUUGGUGAGGUAAAGGCUCACCAAGGCGACGAUCUGUAGCGGGUCUGAGAGGAUGAUCCGCCACACUGGAACUGAGACACGGUCCAGACUCCUACGGAGGCAGCAGUGGGGAAUUUUGGACAAUGGGGGCAACCCUGAUCCAGCCAUGCCGCGUGAGUGAAGAAGGCC